ACCCUCUCAGGGUCACACCUGGAGAGUUUCCAGUACUCUGCCAGUCUGGGCUGCCAGAGGCAGAGUCAAGCAGAGCCCUAUUCAUUUCAUUCCUAGCUUGGCCAGUGGCUAGCGAGUGGAAGGCAGUCUGCUACAAAU